rnacentral:rRNA from 1 species
GAUAGGUGGGAGGCUUUGAAGUGUGGACGCCAGUCUGCAUGGAGCCGACCUUGAAAUACCACCCUUUAAUGUUUGAUGUUCUAACGUGGACCCGUUACCCGGGUUGCGGACAGUGUCUGGUGGGUAGUUUGACUGGGGCGGUCUCCUCCUAAAGAGUAACGGAGGAGCACGAAGGUUGGCUAAUCCUGGUCGGACAUCAGGAGGUUAGUGCAAUGGCAUAAGCCAGCUUGACUGCGAGCGUGACGGCGCGAGCAGGUGCGAAAGCAGGUCAUAGUGAUCCGGUGGUUCUGAAUGGAAGGGCCAUCGCUCAACGGAUAAAAGGUACUCCGGGGAUAACAGGCUGAUACCGCCCAAGAGUUCAUAUCGACGGCGGUGUUUGGCACCUCGAUGUCGGCUCAUCACAUCCUGGGGCUGAAGUAGGUCCCAAGGGUAUGGCUGUUCGCCAUUUAAAGUGGUACGCGAGCUGGGUUUAGAACGUCGUGAGACAGUUCGGUCCCUAUCUGCCGUGGGCGCUGGAGAACUGAGGGGGGCUGCUCCUAGUACGAGAGGACCGGAGUGGACGCAUCACUGGUGUUCGGGUUGUCAUGCCAAUGGCACUGCCCGGUAGCUAAAUGCGGAAGAGAUAAGUGCUGAAAGCAUCUAAGCACGAAACUUGCCCCGAGAUGAGUUCUCCCUGAGACUUAGAGUCUCCUGAAGGAACGUUGAAGACGACGACGUUGAUAGGCCGGGUGUGUAAGCGCAGCGAUGCGUUGAGCUAACCGGUACUAAUGAACCGUGAGGCUUAACCUUACAACGCCGAAG